rnacentral:rRNA from 1 species
UCUCCUGGAAACGGGUGGUAAUGCCGGAUGUUCCACAUGAGCGCAUGCGAGUGUGGGAAAGGCUUUUUGCGGCAUGGGAUGGGGUCGCGUCCUAUCAGCUUGUUGGUGGGGUAACGGCCUACCAAGGCGUUGACGGGUAGCCGGCCUGAGAGGGCGACCGGCCACAUUGGGACUGAGAUACGGCCCAGACUCCUACGGGAGGCAGCAGUGGGGAAUAUUGCACAAUGGGCGCAGGCCUGAUGCAGCGACGCCGCGUGCGGGAUGGAGGCCUUCGGGUUGUAACCGCUUUUGUUCAAGGGCAAGGCACGGUUUCGGCCGUGUUGAGUGGAUUGUUCGAAUAAGCACCGGCUAACUACGUGCCAGCAGCCGCGGUAAUACGUAGGGUGCAAGCGUUAUCCGGAUUUAUUGGGCGUAAGGGCUCGUAGCGGUUCGUCCCGCCGGUGUGAAGUCCAUCGCUUAACGGUGGAUCCGCGCCGGGUACGGCGGGCUUGAUGCGGUAGGGAGACUGGAAUUCCCGGUGUAACGUGGAUGUGUAGAUAUCGGAGACACC